rnacentral:lncRNA from 1 species
ACCACCAAACACACAUCUCCCUCUUCUUCUUUUUCUUCAUUCCUCCUCCUUCCAUCUACCAUAACUCAAAAUCUAACCGUUUGUUUCUCAAAUUGAAGCUACCUAAACGUUCAGGACUCCAAGAGCUACGUUUCUACCGAUUGAUUUUCCGUUUCAUCCAACGGGUAAGAAAAACCCCUUUCUCCAUUUUUCCCUAGGAUUGUAAACAUGCAAUUUCUUGCUACAAGCAACCCAUUUUGUUUUCUUCCAUAAUCUAGCUUCUGUUUGGUUCUAAAAUUCGUUCUCCAUCAUCAAUUGAUGAUUUUAGGUGAUUCUCACAUUUUGGGUUCAAAGUACGUGGUCUAGGAUUCUUCCUUGAGUUGGCCGGACGCACUAGAGGUAAGGGGAGCUAGUUCUAUUUCUUAUUUUUAUUGUGUAAUGUGAAUGAAUGACAAAUUUUGAAGUGGUAUGUUGUUAAAGGCAUGAAAUUGGUUCUAUUGACUUGAAAUGCAUGUAUGGAAGUGGGUGUGUUGUGUGAAUUUGGUGAUUGAUGGCUAUGAAUUGUUUGGAAUGAUUUUGAAUGAUGAAUUAUUUAUGUUGGAACUAAUUUGGUGUGAAAAAUCUGUUGUGGUAUUGUUAGGAAGAAAAAUCAAGUGUCUUAGGGUCAAUUUUAGGUCAUUUAGAGGAAGUAAGGUAGUGAUUUUGAGCAAUUGAGGUCUGCACCAUAUUUGGAUUAUUGGGACAGUUUUAUCCACUGUAUUGUGACUUGUUUGAGUCACUAAAUUGGUAAAAAUAGGUGCAAAGAGGUAAGAUUGAGUUUUUGGUCUCUAUGUUGGUGAAAUUGGAGUUAUUUGAAGAGAAGAGAAGUAGUGAAUUUGAGAGGUAGAGGUCUAGGACUCUUUUGAACUGUUGAGGCAGCUUAGGCAAGUUAAUUAUAACUUGUUAGAACUAUAAAAUUGGUUAAAAUGAGGUUCUAAAUGGUAGAAGUGGAGUUAAUUCCUUAGGUUGAGGAAAACUAGUGUUUUGAGUGAGUUUAGAGGAAGUGAGAGAGUGUUUUUGAGUAAUUGAGGUCUAGGGUGUAAGUGGGCAGUGGGGACAGUUUGACUAAGUCAAUUAUGACUUGUUAGAAGUUUUAAAAGUGGUAAAAACAUUGCUUAACUGGUAGAAUUAGAAUUGGGCACAUGUGUUGAUGAAAUUGAGUAAUUUGAAUGUAGAUUGAUGUGAAAUCACUAGAGAAUUGGUUUAGGAAGUGUUAAAGUUGAUUAGGCAAGUUAGAUUCAUCAUAUAGAUCAAGUUAGGAGUGCUAGAAAUCCACCAAAAGGCCUAAAACGAAACUUAGGAGUGUGAGUUUGAAAAAUCUGCAUUUCCUGUCAACUGGUGUAGCACUCAGCGCCACUAAUCCCGCUCGAGCGCCACUGGACGCAACAACACUUUUCAGAAUUUGUUUUUGGUAGUUUUUGGGGUUCCGGAUGUCCGUUUUGGACGUUCUUUAGGUCGUUCUGGGGGUUUUUUACCCUUCCAGAACCAUUGGUGAGGGUCCCAAGGCUGUUUGAAUUACUUAAGUAUUGAUAAUUAAAUAUCAUAAAGAAAUUUGUGGUAAUAAGUGAUGGUUUUGUGAAAGUAUGUAAUGUAUGAGUUGUUUUAUGACAUGGUCGAUGUUGUGAUAUGGUGUAUGGGCUUGGUAUGAGCCAAUAUAGUACGAAUGUACUUGAAUGACUAUGAAAUUUUAUGUUUGAUGAAGCAAAGUGGUUUAUGAGGUACAUUAUUGAUUCAAGAGGAAUAUCAGGUGAUUUGAAGUGGUCGGAUUGAAUAUGAAAUUAAGAUCUCUCGGUGAGAUCAGUUAGUGUAUUGAAUGUAUGUAAGAGGCUUCCACUAUGGGGGGUUAUCCGUAACACUCUAACGGUCUUUCAUUCUCACUUAGAGAGGAUUGACGCGUGUGGUGAGAGUAGUGAGAGGUCCUAGGGUAGGCGCUAUCACUGGAGGUCUAUUCCGCGGUAACGAACCAGCCUUGUGUGUGGUCGGGUGAAACCCCUCGACAAUGGCUUUGCAAAGCAGUAGAGGCCACCACAAGUGCACAACCCGCCCCAGCUCUAUAUACAUUCUAUGUCCGGACGUGUCUAGGAGUCUUAACAUGACAUGAUGUUUGCUUUAGUGAGUUUUGUGAAAUGANUGUUUAUGUUUAUGAUGACUUACAUGUUUAAGUGUGUAUGANCGUUCUUGCAAUGAAUUGUAUGAUUGUUUGAGACCUAGCUCACCCUUGCACUUGUAUGUUCGUAUGUGUUUGCCUUCCCCCUUGCGAUGAUCAUCCAAUCCUUUGGAUGUGAGCAGUAGGUGAUGAGGUACCCUUGGAGCAGGCGUGGGAGACUGAGGAAGAUACAGUCCCUAAUACUUAGGACAAUUAUUAGUUCUUAUUUCAAUAGCUUGUUAAUUUUUGGAAACACUCUCUAGGCAUCCUUCGAUCUUUAGUUUAUUAUGUAUUUUGGAGAACUUUGGGGAACUUGUACUCAAGUCUUAUUUCGUUUUAAUUUCCACUAAAUUUCGGAUGACUGUAUAAAUAUUUAAAUAUUGUCAUCUUUAUCUCUUAACUGCUUUCACAUAUUGUAAUAGCUGAAUCCUAUUAUAUUAUAUGUGAAUAUGAUAUUU